rnacentral:rRNA from 1 species
UAGUCCACGCCCUAAACGAUGUUGGCUCGGUAUCCGCGUUAAGUGGGUGCCCAAGGGAAACCGAUAAGCCAACCACCUGGGGAGUACGUUCGCAAGAAUGAAACUCAAAGGAAUUGACGGGGUCCGCACAAGCGGUGGAGCAUGUGGUUUAAUUCGAUGAUACGCGAGGAACCUUACCGGGGCUCGAACACCACUGGACCGCACAUGAAAGUGUGCUUCCCUUCGGGGCUGGUGGUGAGGUGCUGCAUGGUUGUCGUCAGCUCGUGCCGUGAGGUGUUGGGUUAAGUCCCGCAACGAGCGCAACCCCCGUUUCCAGUUGCCAGCACAUAAUGGUGGGGACUCUGGAAAGACUGCCGGCGUAAGCCGCGAGGAAGGUGGGGACGACGUCAAAUCAUCAUGGCCUUUAUGCCUAGGGGCUACACACGUGCUACAAUGGGCAGGGUACAGAGGGGUUGCGAAGGGGGUGACCUGGGAGCUAAUCUCAG